ACUCUUUCUGUUCACCUUUUUGUUUAUCCAAAUUCAGGGAAAAACCCGGCAACAUUUAUUCUGUAACUAUGAACACAGAUAUAUCUGUCAUUCAAAUAUGUUCCAUAAACAAUAUCACAUAACAGCGUCACUACAACAGCAAAACUCUGAUGAACAGCAGAUACUGAGAUUACAUCUGUAUCAAAUGGAUUAUGUAAAGUGAUGGGUGGGAUUGAAAGAGGACAGUAAUACUGUAUAAUAAGAGGUUUGUUAGGUUCAGGUGCACAAAGUGAGGUGAAGAACAGAAGAACACAUGAGUAGUAUGUGGUACAGGAGCAUAUAUUCCUCAUCACUAUCACUUUGUGAAUGAGAAUAAAACCUGGAGUGAAGCUCAGACUUACUGCAGACUGAAUUACACUGAUCUGGCAACCAUCAGCAACAUGGGAGAGGUGGAGAAACUGAAUCAGACACUGAUGAACAGAAAUGCAAAGAAAGCUUGGAUUGGUCUACAGAGAGCAGGACCUGGGAGAUGGCUGUGGUCUCUGGAAGACCAAACUUUCUACAGAGACGGAGUCACUUACACAAAGUGGGCCAGUGGACAGCCAGAUAAUG